GGGCGGUUAGUUUAUCUGGGAAAAUACCUGACUUGCACUCAGGAGUGAGGAGUUCGACUCUCCUACUGUCCACCA
rnacentral:tRNA from 1 species